AGGAAAAGCAGCAAAUCAAACAUCUGAAGAUCAAACAUCAAAUGAUUUUACAGCAAAAAUCUCUCAAACCAUCAUCAACAGAUGAUCAUUCAUUUUCUGUUAAUCCACUAAUUGAUUAAUGGUUUCAUCUGUACGUGUAUAAACUGUUUAAUUUAUAACAAUCUAUUCUGUUUUGUUUUCUGAGACUUUAUAAACUUUGUUCAUUUGUAAAGUAACUGGUAACUAAAGCUGUCAGAUACAUGUAAUCGAGUAAACGAGUGGCAUGAAAACAAAAAGUCAACCCUGAUUUCAGACAUGAGACCAAAUAUUUGUGAGGAUUGAAGUCUCCAGCAGGAACCAUCGAGCUGAGAGCCACAGACAGGAAGCCUGACGGUCCUGAGAGGAAGACUAACGUCAACUUCAUCCUCUCAGAAUGUUUCUUUAAUCACAGCUCGUCACAAAGCAGCAGACUGGAACGUGUUUAUUAGUGAUGUUGUGUUACAGCAGAACGACAGUAUGUGAGAGCUGAAAGGGAAACACGGAGCUCGCGCCUCGCGGCGUCUCCUCUCCCAGACUGCGUGAGUCCAGCUCAGGUGAGUCCUCACCUCCUUCAUCAGGACUCACACACACAUUAGCUCACUGAUUUGGCACAGAAAACAAAAUUUAUUUUAAAAAACAGUCUUCUUGAUGCUGCAGAAGGAUCCAUGUUCACAUUUAGGGAAGUUUGAUUCACAGAAACAUUGACGCUUUAGUUGGAAAUGGUUUGAAUUCACGCAGGAACUCAUUAAAACGGUGUCAGAUGCUACAUUGUGAGUUUAAGGCAGCAGUUAAACUGAUCUGAGUUAUUUUGAUUGUUUUUACAGGUGAUAUCUGAAUUCUGGCACUUUGUAGAUCUUAACUCUUAACUCCUUUGAUAGUAACUGUUCUUAAAAACUCUGUCAGGUGAGAUAUGAAUGAAAAUGGCGGAGCUGCAGGUUCCAGACGAUCAAACAAAUAUCUGAACUUUGUUUUUGAGAAAGAGGAUUUUUAUCUGUCUCUACUCGGAAAGCAGAGCUGCAGCAACACAAGCUGAGGGUGUUUCUGGGAGUUGUAGUACACCUGUUCCAUCGACUCUGGCUUUUUAUCAAAGAAGCAGGUAUUUUCCAUCACAGCUGUUCAUCUUUUGUGCCGAUGAGUCAACAAUCACAGUUUCACGUCGGUCAGAAAACGGAGCCUCUGCAGCAGCUGUUCAGAGUUAGCUUCGAGCUAACGUCAGCGUUUACCUGAGGUUCUUGUUACUAAAUAUUUACACCCGCUAGCUGCCAGGUGUAGCUGUCGUGUUGCUAACUGAACUGACAAAGCUAACAUUAGCUGAACAUGUCAUAGCAUCAGGGGCAGCAGGCGAGGCACUGUGAUGGGUUCGAUCACAGAUCUAGAGCUGGAUUUUGUCUCAGGUCUCGGGUCUGAGACGUAGUCUGGAUAAGACCUGCAGGUGACAGUUUUUCUUAAGGUCUGAUGGGCGUGAAGCUCAGCUGGUUGAUUCAUCACAACAAAACAUGAACAGCUGCCUAGGAAAUAUCUGAUUCUUUGAUAAAACCUGAAGGAGAGAAGUCGACUACAACUCCCAUGGUGCUUUUCACCAACAAACAUCCAAUCACAGAGCUUCACAGAAACAGUGAGUGGAAGCUAAAGAUUUCACUGCUGAGAAACAGACUUCAGUGUUCAUUUUGGAUAAAUUCAGUAACACUUUGAUCACGCCUCUGACUGGUUUUGUCUCCAUAGCAACAGCAGCUGAGCCUCAUGGGUGCUGUAGUAUUUAGAGCCACAAAAAAAAUCAGAUUUGUCAGAAACUGAAGUGAAAUAAUUGAAACUGCUGUUCGACCUGAAAGACGGCUUCAGUCUGCAGGAGAGUCUCGUGUUUCUGUGCUCAGUCACUCUGAGAUCGAGUCAAGAUGGUCGCAGCGGGGUCAGAGUUCAUCUGCUGACGGCUGCUGCAGUUGUCUGUGUGCUCCUGAGAGCUGCCUCCGCUCACCGCCGCCCCCUAGUGGGAAGUCUAUCGUCGGCUGGCUGCUCAGGAAGCUCAGCUGCUGCUCCAGACGACAAACUCUGAAGGCCAGAUAGCAGGACGACAGGACCAACAGGAAGACACUGAGAGACAGACAGGUAGAGAGAGACCGUGAUCAACAGAUGUGUCCACUUUGAGCUACAAGAACAUUUUGUUGCGACAAACUUUGGACCCACAUUAACGUCAGCGUCUGUUUCUGAAGUUAACAGGAAACAGAAAUCAUGAGAACAGCAGCAAGACGAAGGUUAAAGCGUCCUCGUAUUAAAAACGUCUCAGUCUCUGUCUGCGGUCUUUGGUUUGAUGCUUGAUGUCAGUGUCUCAGCGUCUGUCCCUGAUUUUCCUUCAGGAUUAUGUGCUUGAAUCGACCUUUAAAGUGAGACUGCAGCGCUGCUCAUGCAGGUCAUCACCAGCAGGUGGCAGCACAGACCAACAGUGAUCAGUUAACAGGUGGGCGGGCCUACCGGUGAGCGUGUGUGUGCUGAAGGGCGUGUCUGCAGUGAGGCCGGGGGAGGAGUUUCCCAGCAGGUCCGGGAGGGAGGAGGAGACGGCGGGGAGCGACGGCUUCCGCCUCCACUUCAACACCUCGGGAUACUCGUCCUGAUGGAGAGAGGAGACGCUCAGACUUACCGUGGUGUUCGUUAGAGGAGUAUUCAUGAUGUGCAGCGCUGUGAUAGAACAGACGUCCUACAAACAGUAAAGUGAGACGCUUGUAAAGUUUAAGUUUGAUAUUCUACAUUUUUCUUCACAUUCAGACUCAAAGCAGUGUGUUAUAAAGCUUCAUGUAUCUUAUGAUCCAGAAACCAUUAAAACUCAUCAGUGAGCCUCACUGUUGGUCCUUCAUCACCACACGUCCUGCUGCACCCUCACUGCAGCACCAAAUGUGGAUUCAUCCACCACAGAAAAUAGUCCAACAGAUGCUCUAUUUCCUCCUGUUUGUCCGAAACUACGUUUUCUACUAAUUAAUGAAGCUUUUAAACAUGAAACUAAUUAUUUGUGAGGAGUUUUUGAAGAUUUACGUGUUCAGUAGGAACCAACGAGCUGAGAGCCACAGACAGGAAGUAUUAAGUAGGAGGACAGUAUUAAGAGACGAACACGAGCAUUUUGGUUUGGAUCUGAGAUUUGAUAAAAAGAACUGGAGGCUAACAGUGACGUACUGUCACAGUUUAAAGCUGAGCUGGUCAUGUGUCUUCAGCUCACAGUUUUGGUAUUUCAGACAGAACCUGAAGGCGACGUGAGGAAAGCCUCUUAUCCAGGAGCAUGAUGGGGUCGCAGCGGGUCACCACAGGACAAAAACAACAGCUCCUGGUAUUCCACUAAGCCCGUUUCACCGGUGACUCAGAUCUAACACAACAUGUUUCAGCUGUCUGUGAUCCAGAUCAGGACUCAAGUCUUCAUACUUUGUUGAUAUAAACCAAAAUGUGUCCACAAGCACAAAGGUUGCAUAACUCAGCUCACGCAGCUGACUGACAGGAAGUGUCCUUAAACGGGACGUUACCAUGGAAAGAGAGCUGGGUUCCUCCAGGUACUGCUUCAGACUCAGACUCUUCCC